GCCUGGGCCUGGUACUGGGCCAGCCUGGCCUCCGCCGUCUGUGCUUGCUCCUUGGGGUUCUGUCCGUCUUCUCUGGGUGGGACCAUCCAGAAAGAUCCCUGUUAUCUGGAAGCAGAAGGAAGAACUUUCUGUGCUCCCACUUGGCUGGGUCAGGGAGCGACUCCUCGCUCCUCAUAAGGCAUGGUAAACCUUGGCUCUGCCCCUGCCUAUACCCCGCACAGAGCAAGGCAGAGGCCUGCUGGCCUGGACUCCCCCACAGAGUCCAGGGGAGGAAGCUCAGAUGGCUCUUCAGAUGGAAAUAACACACCAACAUUAGGACAUGGGUCCUGCUUGUUGAUUCAAAAAAUGGGAAAGCCAUUUUGGAAGAAGAAAGGAAGCUGUUUUUUCUUCUAGAUCCUCCCUCAUUUUUGGAACACUAGGAAGCCUCGGUGUGUAAAUGUGCACCAAGGGUGGUGUACACACAAUCUGGGAGGCAUCGACUGCAGAGAAUUUGGAGAUGACCACCAGGGGUGCCUGCGUGGCCCAGUCCGUUGAGCAGCGGACUUCUGGUUUUCAGCUGGGGUCAUGAUCUCCGGGUUGUGGGAUCGAGCCCACCUUGGGAGUGCUCAGCACAGAAUCUGCUCGUCCCUCUCCCUCUCCCUCUGCCCCUCCCCAGGCUCAUGUGCAUGC